CAAUCUAUCUAGGGUAGAUUCUAAUUUAGUUGUGGCAAAACCACACUUGGUUGCCCAGAAUUAAUCAUUAUCGCAAUCUCAACUUCAUCAUAUACUAUAAUUAGUUUUUUUGUAAUAAGAUUGAUAUUAACAUUUGACUAUGUU
rfam:Populus trichocarpa isolate Nisqually-1 chromosome 6, whole genome shotgun sequence.